AGCUUGGAAUGAGCUGUCCAGGGAACCGGGCCUAGAGGAAGAGGGUGUAAGAGCCAGACAAGGGUGCUAUUCACUGAUUCAGUUGUGACAAAUUCUCAAACCCCCAACAAGGAAACUUGAGAGGAAGAAAGGUUUCGAGUAGGCGGGACCUGUCGCGGUGGUCAGUGUGGCCAUGAAGACCACAGGUUUCAUUGGUCUAUGUGGAUGACAGCGUAUUAUAAUGUGUUUAAUAAAAGGUGAGAGAUUAUUACCAAUAACCAACAUUUGUCAAGAGCUCCAAAAGUGCAUUUCCAGACAUUAUCUCACCGACCUCCGCACAAGCCUCUGAGGUCCAUGAUGCCAACUCUCUGGGUGGCCUGUUUAAUGGGGAGAAAAAAUUAAAUACCCCAGCCAAGGCCUAUGGAAACCAAAGAGGGUGCAGCCAGGUGUCCCAAAAGGCAAAGGGGACCAUGUUCACCCUUCUAUCCUACCCUUCUAAAAAUCCUCCUGGUGUUUGCUUGUUUGCUGGCAUCUGGGAGAAGAAUUGCAAAAAGCCAAUUUGGAGCCCAGAGAGUGACUUCCCAGACAAAGCAAGCUCCAGGAUUCCAAAAAGUCUCCACGCUGUCUGUGUUCUUCUCUGCCACAGCAAGAACCAUCCCAGAGGGCAGCCUGUGGUGUGGCCUCUCUUAUACCAGGGGAGAGCCAGAUUCCCAGAAAACCACUGGUUAGGAGGGUCUGUGGGGCUAGUUCAGGGGUGUCUGCGGGAACAAUUCCCUUUUGUUUUGUUGUCUGCCGUGUGACCAGAAUGCUGCCAGCUAAUUUUAACCCCACCAAGGGACUGCUGGGAAAAAAAAAAAAAAAACCCUAUCUUGCAUCUGGAGAGAACUCUGUGGCUGGAUAAAAGCUUUCUCAGCCUGUGUUCCUUCCUGUUUCGCUUUCCAAACUUGCAUUAUCGGUAACCUGAAAAAUGAUGAGUUUCACCGAAUUCCUGGAUAUUGCACAAGAGGACAAUGAGGCCAUUUUGGGGGCUGUGAGUGUAUCUGGCACAGACCCCGGAAGCCAUUGUUUUUCGGUCAGGAGAAUGUUUUAGGGUUUCCUGGUGCUUUCCUUCUAGGGCCUCAAGGGCUCAGGGGACACUGUCAGAGGGCGGAGGCGAGUGUAGCUUCCAUGGGUAAACCUGUAGACUGUAUUUUGAAAAGACCAGUAUGGGAAGUGGAUGGUUAGACCAGUGGAAUGGGACAAAAGCCCCCCCCCUUUUUUUUUUGGCUAAAG